rnacentral:rRNA from 1 species
AAACCAACAGGGAUUGCCUCAGUAACGGCGAGCGAAGCGGCAAAAGCUCAAAUUUGAAAUCUGGCGCCUUUGGCGUCCGAGUUGUAAUUUGAAGAUGGCAACUUUGGGAUUGGCUCUCGCAUAUGUUCCUUGGAACAGGACGUCAUAGAGGGUGAGAACCCCGUUCAUGGUGAGAUGAUCCAAUCCUAUGUAAAGUGCUUUCUAAGAGUCGAGUUGUUUGGGAAUGCAGCUCUAAGUGGGUGGUAAAUUCCAUCUAAGGCUAAAUAUUGGCGAGAGACCGAUAGCGAACAAGUACAGUGAUGGAAAGAUGAAAAGAACUUUGAAAAGAGAGUGAAAAAGUACGUGAAAUUGUUGAAAGGGAAGGGCUUGAAAUCAGACUUGGUAUUCAGUGAUCAACUGUCUUUCGGGACUGUGCACUCGCUGUUUACUGGGCCAACAUCGGUUUGGAGGGUGAGAUAAAAGCUUGAGAAUGUGGCUAGCCUUCGGGGUAGUGUUAUAGCUCUUGUUAAUAUCACCAUUCUGGACCGAGGACUGCGCUUUAUGCUAGGAUGUUGGCGUAAUGAUUUUAAGCCAC